GAAGGUAGAUCCGUAUACUCCGUCCGAGAUCGUGAAUGAUGUUUCAUAGUAUUCGGAGGCUUGGAGGAGUGUAAAGUAGACCCCUAAAGAGAUUGUAAUAAAUAGUGCUUGGAGCAUGUGUUUUCGAUUUCCUUCCAUCAAACUGUGGUGAGCUCAGGUGAUUGAUACUCCGGAGGCUAGAAGCACGGAGGUAUUAAGUAGUGGAACUUCCAGGGGGUUCAGGGGAAUAAUGCCUGUCGGUGGUCAGCAUCCUCCUAGCUCGGGGGUUGGGGCUAGGCUUGAGUGGUAGAAGGCCCAGAAGAAGCCUGCGAAAAAGAAUACUUCUGAGAUGAUAAAGAGGAUUAUUCCGUAUCGAAGGCCUUUUUGAACGAUAGGUGUAUGAUGGCCUUGGAAUGUGCUUUCUCGGAUAAUGUCUCGUCAUCAUUGAUAUAUAGUUAGUAGGUUGGUAGUUAUUCCAAGGGUUAACAGCAGUGUUGAGUUGUAGUGGAAUCAUAUAGCCAGGCCUGAGGUUAUUAAGAGGGCUGAAAGGGCUCCUGUAAGUGGCCAUGGGCUAGGGUUGACUAUGUGGUAUGCAUGGGUUUGGUGGGUCAUUAGGUGUUAUCAUGUAAGUAUAGGCUUACUAGCAGGGUAAAAACAUAGGCUUGGAUUAGGGCUACGGCAAAUUCAAGGAUUGUUAGUAAAAUGAGAAUGGUAAAGGUGAUUAAGGCAAUAGAGGUGCUAAUAUUUAUCAGGGCUAGGGCGGCUCCUCCAAUUAGAUGUAUUAAUAAGUGACCUGCGGUGAUGUUGGCUGUAAGUCGUACGGCGAGAGCUAUGGGUUGGAUAAAGAGGCUGAUAGUCUCAAUGACUACAAGCAUAGGAAUUAGGGGGACAGGUGUUCCUUGUGGUAGAAAGUGGGCCAGAGAUGCUUUAGUCUUGUGGCGAAACCCGGUAAUUACAGUGCCGGCUCAUAGCGGGAUAGCUAUUCCUAAAUUUAUUGAUAAUUGGGUAGUUGGGGUGAAUGAGCUUCAAAUGUGUGGUACGGAGGAGGACAUCCAUGCAAUCAUUCAAGAUUAGUUGUGGUUAGUUCUACUAUGGCCACUUCUCGCUUGGAUGCGAAAGCUUCUCACACUAUGAAAACUAUUAACAUGACUGCCGUUAAUGAGAUGAAAGAGCCCAUUGAGGAAAUCGUAUUUCAAGUUGUAUAUGCAUCUGGAUAGUCAGAAUAACGUCGUGGCAUUCCGGACAGGCCUAGGAAGUGCUGAGGGAAGAACGUUAUAUUGACUCCUACAAACAUAAUCGUAAAGUGAAUCUUUGCUCAAGUGUUGUCAAGGGUGUAUCCUGAGAAUAGGGGGAAUCAAUGGACGAAGCCUCCUAUGAUAGCGAAUACUGCUCCUAUUGACAAGACAUAGUGAAAGUGGGCCACUACGUAAUAUGUGUCGUGAAGAACAAUGUCUAAUGAAGAGUUUGCUAGUACAAUUCCCGUUAGGCCUCCUACGGUAAAUAGGAAAAUAAAGCCUAAGGCUCAUAAUAUAGCA
rnacentral:lncRNA from 1 species